rnacentral:piRNA from 1 species
UCAAUUCGAAGUACCUAUUACAAUAA